CUCCAGCACCAUGUCUGCCUGCACGCUACCAUGUCCACCAUGAUGAUAAUGCCGAGGGACCGCGAGGGCCCGGCGGGAACCCAAGAAACCUUAUGGCUACAAAUCACAGUUCACACAAGUUGUGAGCAGUCACCGGUGGGAAAAAGGAACCCACUUCACAAUGUGACCGUGGACGCAAGCCUGCUGGGGGCUCUGACGCUCAGCAUAGCUCCUCCCUGAGAGGCCCUUCCUGGGGGUACCGGUGCAGGAUGCCCCACACUGAUAAAGAGAUUGAUUCUUCUGCCUACUGAAGAGGACAGUGGUGUCAGGAGGGCAAGGGCCAAGCAACCAGGAAAGCGCAGAACUGAUGCUGUCACCUGAAUGACCGAGAUCAGGCCUGACUCCUGCUUUCCAGUGGUCUUAUCAUUGCUGACUGAGUUCAUGACCCAACACACCUCUGCAGGAAAGCUAACUGCCCACCCCCUCAUGCACAGUUUAUGCCAGUCAGUCUUGAACCUGCUUUCCAGCUAUUGUUUGUAUGACUUCCAAACACACCUAAGGCCUCAGCUUCUCUGCAGCGGGUCUUCAUGUCCUGAAGGGCUGAGCAACUGGCCAAGACUCCACAGAUCAUGUUUUUGAGCCUUGGGGCUGGAGAGGCAGUGGGAAUAGCCAGCAUUCCACAAACACAUUCUUUCUUGUCUUCCUUUUUCUAAAUCACUACUGUGAAAAUUCCAUCACUAUGUCCUGAGGACACACUGGGGUGGGAUAUAGAACUUAAUAAAUAGGUUAAACAUUA